CCUUCGGUAGCUCAGUUGGUAGAGCGGUGGACUGUAGCUGGCUAUUAAAAUAGUAAUCCAUAGGUCGCUGGUUCAAAUCCGGCCCGAAGGA